AAUCGGUCAUCUCUUACGACGAUGACACAGUCUAACUUUGUUUUUCGUAUUCUUUACAAUCGAUCGAACACAAUUUUAUAUACACGAUAUAUAUAUAAAUAUUUGUAUAAUAUUUAUAUAACAUAGAAAUUAUUUUAUUAUAUUAUAUUAUUAUAUAUUGCAAUAGCUGCACGCGCAUAGAUUGAAAUUUCGUCUUAUUUACCUAAAACAAUUGUUACUAAUAUAAUUAAACCGUGUUAAUCUUUUUCUUUUCAUUUUAUGUUUCUACAUUACGCGAUACCUUCCUACAAAUCCUAUUCAAACAAAUACCUUUAUAACUCCCUAUAUAAAUUGCAAAAAGAUCAUCCCAACGUUAUCUCGUAAAUCGUAAAUAAAAAGUCUAACAAAAAGAAAAAAAACAAACAAACAAAUAAAAACAUUUCUAUUCGUAAUAAAUACGUUCUACGCAAUUCUCUUCUGUAGGAGUUUCGACAAGAAAGAUUCGUCGGGUUCGUAUUCGCGUUUUGUAGUCAAAGGGAUAUCGUAAACAAGGAAUAGUAGUGGCUAAGAGUAAACAGGAUCCGCAUCCAAUCGGGACGCCCGUCGCCGCCGACACCGCUGCUUAACACAUGCGAAGAACGACGAAAGAGACGCCACCUUGGCGAUGGAAACGCUUCUUCUUCGGCUUGCCCAGAGAGAAGUUCAAAUGAGAACGAGAAUGACGAGCAGACUGAGGAGGGGAUGUGUGAACAAA
rnacentral:lncRNA from 1 species